CCUACGGGAGGCAGCAGUGGGGAAUAUUGGACAAUGGACGAAAGUCUGAUCCAGCAAUGCCGCGUGAGUGAUGAAGGCCUUAGGGUUGUAAAGCUCUUUUACCAGGGAUGAUAAUGACAGUACCUGGAGAAUAAGCUCCGGCUAACUCCGUGCCAGCAGCCGCGGUAAUACGGAGGGAGCUAGCGUUGUUCGGAAUUACUGGGCGUAAAGCGCACGUAGGCGGUUAUUCAAGUCAGAGGUGAAAGCCCGGGGCUCAACCCCGGAACUGCCUUUGAAACUAGAUAGCUAGAAUCCUGGAGAGGUGAGUGGAAUUCCGAGUGUAGAGGUGAAAUUCGUAGAUAUUCGGAAGAACACCAGUGGCGAAGGCGGCUCACUGGACAGGUAUUGACGCUGAGGUGCGAAAGCGUGGGGAGCGAAACAGGAUUAGAUACCCUGGUAGUCCACGCCGUAAACGAUGAUAACUAGCUGUCCGGGCACAUGGUGCUUGGGUGGCGCNGCUACGCAUAAGUUAUCCGCCGUGGGAGGUACGGUCGCGAGAAGUUAAACGUUAAAUAGUAGUUAGAGUCGUUGAGAGNGCGACGGACGACGACGAGGGAGGAGG
rnacentral:rRNA from 1 species